rnacentral:rRNA from 1 species
GACGAACGCUGGCGGCGCGCCUAACACAUGCAAGUCGAACGAGCGAGAGAGAGCUUGCUUUCUCUAGCGAUUGGCGAACGGGUGAGUAACGCGUGAGGAACCUGCCUCAAAGAGGGGGACAACAGUUCGAAACGACUGCUAUUACCGCAUAAGCUCACGUUGCCCCAUGGCACAGAGGGAAAAGGAGCAAUCCGCUUUGAGAUGGCCUCGCGUCCGAUUAGCUAGUUGGUGAGGUUAUGGUCCACCAAGGCGACGAUCGGUAGCCGGACUGAGAGGUUGAACGGCCACAUUGGGACUGAGACACGGCCCAGACUCCUACGGGAGGCAGCAGUGGGGAAUAUUGCACAAUGGGGGAAACCAUGAUGCAGCGACGCCGCGUGGAGGAAGAAGGUAUUCGGAUUGUAAACUCCUGUUGUUGGGGAAGAUAAUGACGGUACCCAACAAGGAAGUGACGGCUAACUACGUG